UACAAUUCCAUAGGCGCUACAAACUAUAUAUAAUGUAUCGAAGAAAACGAUGAGAUUUAUAAAUUUUAAAGGGAUAAAACAUUAUAUUUCGCAAAAGGGAGAAAUAUGGCUAAAACUGUCAAAUUUGUUAAUGUUAUGAUUAUUAUCUGUUUUUUCGUAUUUCUUAUUGCAAUGAACGUUGAUGCGGUGGUCAAUAAAAAAUGUAAUCAAGAUUCUGACUGUCCAAAAAGUAUGUGCCAAUCACCUUUGAAACGGAAGUGUGUAAUGAAGAAUACACCCCUUUCCUCAAAAAACGGCAUAUGUACGUGUGUUUGAUUGGUGUACCCAAAAGAUUCUGCUACAAAAGUUCAUAAGUUGUCAUUUAGUUAUAGUUAUUAUGUAUCCAAUAAUUUGAAUUUUUCGUUUUAUAUUUUCAUGGACCUUGA